GACGAACGCUGGCGGCGUGCUUAACACAUGCAAGUCGAACGAAGUGGCGAACGGGUGAGUAACGCGUAAUCAACCUGCCCUUCAGAGGGGGACAACAGUUGGAAACGACUGCUAAUACCGCAUACUGAAGGAGGGGAUUGCGUGUGAUUAGCUAGUUGGAGGGGUAACGGCCCACCAAGGCGAUGAUCAGUAGCCGGGCUGAGAGGAUGAACGGCCACAUUGGGACUGAGAACCGGCCCAGACUUCUACGGGAGGCAGCAGUGGGGAAUCUUCCGCAAUGGACGAAAGUCUGACGGAGCAACGCCGCGUGAGUGAUGACGGCCUUCGGGUUGGAAAGCUCUGUUAAUCGGGACGCGGUACCGGAAUAGAAAGCCACGGCUAACUACGUGCCAGCAGCCGCGGUAAUAC
rnacentral:rRNA from 1 species